CAGUGACUGAUUCUCAGCUGACCUCAGUACAGCUGUGGCUCGGCCAUAGACUGAACUGCCCACUCGGUGCAUCUCUGUACGAGACGCUACAGCCCUGAGUACCAGAGUGACUUUGACUUCUUGAGAUGUUCAGGGUGCUGCAAAUGACUCGACGCCCUCUUGCAAAGAGGUUCAGCCUCCUUGUAUUUGCCACGUUUGCCGUAGAGCACCGCCAGGUUGUUGAGGGUGGCAGCCACAGCAGGGUGGUCCUUCCCCAGGGUCUUCUCCCGGAU